rnacentral:rRNA from 1 species
UACGGAGGGUGCAAGCAUUAAUCGGAUUUAUUGGGCGUAAAGGGCGCGUAGGCGGGAGUAUAAGUCAUAUGUGAAAUCCCAGAGCUCAACUCUGGAACAGCAUACGAAACUAUAUUUCUUGAGGGUAGGCGGAGAAAACGGAAUUCCACAAGUAGCGGUGAAAUGCGUAGAUAUGUGGAAGAACACCCGUGGCGAAGGCGGCUCUCUGGGACGGUACUGACGCUGAGACGCGAAAGCGUGGGGAGCGAACAGG